UGUCUGAUUCCUCUCUUUGUCCUCUGA
rnacentral:piRNA from 1 species